AAGAUUAAGAAGAGUGCGAUAUAUAUAUAAAGUACUAAAGACUACAAGUCAUAUAUAUUAAGAGAGUACGUACUAUUUUUUUUUGGCAUGGGUUGCGCAUGGAGCCAAGGUAAGAAGAAAUGGAAUAAUCAUUCCGGUCCUACUACUGGUGGUCAUCGUCGUCAUCAUCAUCAUCAUCAUCAUCAUGGUAUUUCUAUUAUGACAGAUGUUGCUGCCACUACUACUGGUGGUGGAAGUGCUUGUGGUGGCGGCGGUGGUGACGGCGGUGGCGGUGGCGGUGGUGGUGGCGGCUGUGGUGGGGGAGGAGGAGGCUGCUGAUCAAGAUGUUCGAUAUCAUAACGUGCGUAUUAAUAAUUGUUUGGGAAAUUAUUUAUUUAUUGAUCAUGUUAUAAGGUUGAGAGUGAGUUCGCAGUGGAUUCAUUUGGAUCUUCAGUAUAUUGUAUCGAUUAUUAUAUAGUGGCAAUAUGUAUUAAUUACUUAGAUAACUCUUUUAUUUAAGGUUUGUAUAUUUGAAUAAUGUUAACUGUCUUAAUAUUACACCUU